rnacentral:rRNA from 1 species
UACGUAGGGGGCUAGCGUUGUCCGGAAUCAUUGGGCAUAAAGGGCGCGUAGGCGGCUUUUCAAGUCAGGGGUGAAAUCCGGCAGCUUAACUGUCGAAGUGCCUUUGAUACUGGGAAGCUCGAGGGAGGUAGGGGUGUGUGGAACUUCCGGUGGAGCGGUGAAAUGCGUUGAUAUCGGAAGGAACGCCGGUGGCGAAAGCGACGCACUGGACCUCUUCUGACGCUGAGGCGCGAAAGCCAGGGGAGCAAACGGG